GAUGAACGCUAGCGGCAGGCUUAACACAUGCAAGUCGAGGGGCAGCACGGGUAGCAAUACCUGGUGGCGACCGGCGCAAGGGUGCGUAACGCGUGAGCAACAUGCCCUAUACAGGGGGAUAAUCCAGGGAAACUUGGUCUAAUAUCCCAUAGUAUUUAGAGGAGGCAUCUUCUAUAAAUUAAAGCUUCGGUGGUAUAGGAUUGGCUCGCGUGACAUUAGCUAGAUGGUGAGGUAACGGCUCACCAUGGCAAUGAUGUCUAGGGGUUCUGAGAGGAAGGCCCCCCACACUGGGACUGAGACACGGCCCAGACUCCUACGGGAGGCAGCAGUGAGGAAUAUUGGACAAUGGAUGGAAAUCUGAUCCAGCCAUGCCGCGUGCAGGAAGACAGCCCUAUGGGUUGUAAACUGCUUUUACAGGGAUAAAGUGAGUCACGUGUGAUUUUUGCAUGUACCCUGUGAAUAAGCAUCGGCUAACUCCG
rnacentral:rRNA from 1 species